UACGUAGGGUGCAAGCGUUAAUCGGAAUUACUGGGAGUAAAGCGUGCGCAGGCGGUUCGUUGUGUCGGCGGUGAAAGCCCCGGGCUCAACCUGGGAAUGGCCGUUGAAACUGGCGAACUGGAGUGUGGCAGAGGGGGGUGGAAUUCCGCGUGUAGCAGUGAAAUGCGUAGAUAUGCGGAGGAACACCGAUGGCGAAGGCAAUCCCCUGGGCCUGCACUGACGCUCAUGCACGAAAGCGUGGGGAGCAAACAGG
rnacentral:rRNA from 1 species